CGUCACUUCAUUAUUGCGCGCACAUGCGUGUUCAUGUGAGGCGAGACAUUUUUCAAAACUUGUUUCAAGACACAGGAGAGGUCGGGUUGAAAUAUUACUCAUGUUUCACGUUAAAAAUGGACCAAAAGAUUGAUGCUAAACAACGUUUGGCAUGUUUGAACGAAAAAAAUAGAUUUUUCUUUUGACUUUUCGUCGUGACUUUUCCCUCCCGUUUUGAGUAGCCUACCGAACGCGCUAACAACAUGGAACAGCAUGGAGUUAUUUGAACAUAAAUUAUGAACUUCAUCGAAAAAAACAACAUUUGUUGUGGACCUGAGAUUCCUGGAAGUGCCUUCUGAUGAAGAUUAUUAAAGGUGGUCCACCUUCCCUGUGGCCGACAUGGUUGCUGUAUGGACAGUGGAGAGGACAUGGACGUCUCUUUUGUCAUGCCACUAUACUGCCAGCUGUUGACCGUUCUCCUGGAACUCCACCUCCCCUCUCUGCAUCUUCCUGCAUCCGAAUGCCGGCAUCCCCGUCCUGUUCGACCUGACUGUGCCACAGGCCCCUGUGCUGUUGGAGAGCAGAUGCUGGAAGAGUGUGGGUCUGCUGUACCAAUUGUCCACGUACAAAGUGUGUCCCUUGCCGAGAUGAGGAGCCAGCAUGGUCAUCACCACGGACCCAGACACCCCAAGCCCCUCAUAAUGUUUGAUGUCAGUGGUAGACCCUGUGUACACUAUAAUAUCCAGGACAUAUCCUGUCUUCACGUCGCACAUGACAAAGAACUUGACCCCAAACCUGUGCCUUUUGGAGGGAAUAUAUUGACGGAACGCCAGCCUACCUUUCCAUAACAUCAGGGACUCAUCAAUGCAUAGGUCCUUGUAUGGCACAAAGACCCGACCAAAUGCUGAUGUCAGGCUGAUAAGAACAAUUCUUAUUUU
rnacentral:lncRNA from 1 species